GACGAACGCUGGCGGCGUGCUUAACACAUGCAAGUCGAACGGAAAGGCCUCUUUCGGGGGGUACUCGAGUGGCGAACGGGUGAGUAACACGUGAGUAACCUGCCCUUGACUUUGGGAUAACUUCAGGAAACUGGGGCUAAUACCGGAUAGGAGCUCCUGCUGCAUGGUGGGGGUUGGAAAGUUUCGGCGGUUGGGGAUGGACUCGCGGCUUAUCAGCUUGUUGGUGGGGUAGUGGCUUACCAAGGCUUUGACGGGUAGCCGGCCUGAGAGGGUGACCGGCCACAUUGGGACUGAGAGACGGCCCAGACGCCUACGGGAGGCAGCAGUGGGGAAUAUUGCACAAUGGGUGGAAGCCUGAUGCAGCAACGCCGGGUGCGGGAUGACGGCCUUCGGGUUGUAAACCGCUUUCGCUCAUGACGAAGCUUUGUGUGACGGUAGUGGGUAAAGAAGCACCGGCUAACUACGUG
rnacentral:rRNA from 1 species